GACGAACGCUGGCGGCAUGCCUAACACAUGCAAGUCGAACGGAGAUAAGCGCUGAACAGAAGGAAGCUUGCUUUUGGAAGUUCUUGCUUAUCUUAGUGGCGGACGGGCGAGUAACGCGUGAGUAACCUGCCCUUCAGUGGGGAACAACGGUUGGAAACGACCGCUAAUACCGCAUAACAUAGCGGGGUCGCAUGACUCUGUUAUCAAAGGAGCAAUUCGCUGAGGGAUGGACUCGCGUCCGAUUAGCUAGUUGGUGAGAUAAAGGCCCACCAAGGCGACGAUCGGUAGCCGAACUGAGAGGUUGAUCGGCCGCAUUGGGACUGAGACACGGCCCAGACUCCUACGGGAGGCAGCAGUGGGGGAUAUUGCACAAUGGGGGAAACCCUGAUGCAGCAAUGCCGCGUGAGGGAAGAAGGUCUUCGGAUUGUAAACCUAAGUUGUCAGGGACGAAACGAAAUGACGGUACCUGAAAAGAAGCUACCGGCUAACUACGUGCCAGCAGCCG
rnacentral:rRNA from 1 species